rnacentral:rRNA from 1 species
ACUGAACGCUGGCGGCAUGCUUUACACAUGCAAGUCGAACGGUAACAGGUUAAGCUGACGAGUGGCGAACGGGUGAGUAAUGCAUCGGAACGUGCCCGAUCGUGGGGGAUAACGCAGCGAAAGCUGCGCUAAUACCGCAUACGAUCUGAGGAUGAAAGCGGGGGACCGUAAGGCCUCGCGCGAUCGGAGCGGCCGAUGUCAGAUUAGGUAGUUGGUGCGGUAAAGGCUCACCAAGCCAACGAUCUGUAGCUGGUCUGAGAGGACGACCAGCCACACUGGGACUGAGACACGGCCCAGACUCCUACGGGAGGCAGCAGUGGGGAAUUUUGGACAAUGGGCGAAAGCCUGAUCCAGCAAUGCCGCGUGCAGGAAGAAGGCCUUCGGGUUGUAAACUGCUUUUGUACGGAGCGAAAAGGCUCUCUCUAAUACAGGGGGCUCAUGACGGUACCGUAAGAAUAAGCACCGGCUAACUACGUGCCAGCCGCCGCCGUAAAAC